UACCAGCUCUCCGAGUGGUGUGGAUGUUUAUUGGGCCUAAAGCAUCCGUAGCUGGCUGGGCAAGUCCCCUGUUAAAUCCACCGAUUUAACCGUUGGUGUGCGGGGGAUACUGUUCGGCUAGGGGACGGGAGAGGCCGACGGUAUUUUCGGGGUAGGGGUGAAAUCCUAUAAUCCCGGGAAGACCACCAGUGGCGAAGGCUGUCGGCUAGAACGCGCCCGACGGUGAGGGAUGAAAGCUGGGGGAGCGAACCGGAUUAGAUACCCGGGUAGUCCCAGCUGUAAACGAUGCAGGCUAGGUGUUUGGGCGGCCACGUGCCGCUCUAGUGCCGCAGAGAAGUCGUUAAGCCUGCCGCCUGGGGAGUACGGCCGCAAGGCUGAAACUUAAAGGAAUUGGCGGGGAGCACCACAAGGGGUGAAGCUUGCGGUUU
rnacentral:rRNA from 1 species